AUUAUUUUUGUGCGGAAUAAUUGUAAUAGAGCGAUCCAAAAGGUUUCCUCUUAAGACAUUAUCCUAAAUCAAGAAUAGUAAUUCAAGGAUUUUUUCCAAUAGGAGGAAACAUACAUGGUAACAGGUAAAGUAAAAUGGUUUAAUGCAGAAAAAGGUUUCGGUUUCAUCGAAGUAGAAGGUCAAGACGACGUAUUCGUACACUUCUCUGCUAUUCAAGGUGAAGGUUUCAAAACUCUUGAAGAAGGCCAAGAAGUUACUUUCGAAAUCGAGCAAGGCGCUCGCGGACCUCAAGCUGCAAACGUUCAAAAGUAAAUUGAACGCUAAAAAAGACUCCUCAUAGGAGUCUUUUUUUA
rnacentral:sRNA from 1 species